UGGUUGUGAUGCAUAUGCUUGGUUUUCUUGAUUUUAAAGGUUGGCAUUAUUUUAUCCUUAUCCUGAGUACUUGCCAACAUUCACCCUCUAACCUGUCUUCGAGCGGCUGUAUCCCCACGCGAUGCAGGAACCUACUAUUCUACUCCUUCUGCUUAGUGAUCGGAUUUGAGAUCAACUAUUGGAUUGAAGUUGUGAGCUUCCAUACUUCGGAAGGCUCAAUUUUAUAUCAUGGAUGUCUUUAUAUACUUUGGUUAUUUCAUAGACAUUGGUUUUGGCUAUGGUUGGGGACAUGUCCCAAUCAGAUAUUAUUUUUCUUUCGGUUAGGCUUUGUGAAACUACUAUGAAUUGGAAUGGGCGAUAUCGGUAUUGGUGUCAGCCUUAGUAUUAGCAUUGGUAUUGGGGCUAAUACUAUUGGACUGAAUUUAUGAUUGUU
rnacentral:lncRNA from 1 species